CCUCUCCGCCAUUCCUCACCUUCCCCCUGCUCCUCCACCUCCACCAUGGCCGCCGGCCCACCAGUCCAUGGGGACCGUGCCACCGUGGGCUCCCCAUCCCAUGGGGGCAGGUUGCUCCCCUCCUCCUCCGGUUCGCGCUGCGGUCAUCUCGGCGGCCGCCGCGGCCGUGGGGGGCGAGGCGGACGUGCUGCCGGGCCCCGGGGGCGAAGCGGAGGCAGCGUUGACGGGCCGGUUGCUCCAGAUCUAGCGGCUGGAGUACAAACGGCAUGUGGUAGCCGCAGAUCCCGCCUGGGCGAUGGGCUCUCCCCACGAGGAUUCACUGCCGCCAUCACCCAAUCCGAGCAGAUGCCGCCCACAGCCAUGGUGCCAUGCGUGCACUUCCCAGAUCCGGUCAGCUUCGGCUGGCUGCUGGGCCUCUCUCUUUCUGCCGCUCGUCAUGGCUUCUCGUCUGAUGGGCGUUGAGGCCUCCCUUGCCAACGGAGGCGUGCAGGCCGGCCUCGUUGAGAACCCAGGCGAGGACAACCACGACAUGCGGGUUUCCCUCUUAGGCCUCCCAUCGCUAUCCGUCGUCGAGGUGCCGUUGUUCCUGCUCUACUCCCUGCCUGGAGGACCCCUGCAGCAUGCUGAGCACUUCCUACCUGCCGGCAGCGUACUGGUUUGGGUGGGGGAUAAGCAUUUGGUCAUCAUAUUGCAUCAUUGUUCUCUGCUGAAGUAAAAUCUAGCAGAGAACAAUGUUCAGAUUUGUUUAGAAUACUCAGAAAUUUAUCAUAUGCUACAUGUGUUAAGCUGAACUGAUUGUUUAGUACAUUCAUGCAGUUGUGCUAAAACUGCCUUUGUUCUUUCUUGAUUACCAUCUUAGUUCUUUGUAAAACGACAUGGUGCCAAAUUUUUGUGAGAACAUUGGGUUAGAGUUGACUCUAUUCCUGCUAGUGCUAGCUAGAUACAAUGGUUCGAAAUAGCCAUAUGACUCAUUUAGUUGUCUAACAUUACUUCCCUGCUUGUUCUGUUAUGUCAAUACUUAUUUUCCUUUUAUGCUACUCUUUUUUUAGUGACCUCAGAUAUAACUGGAUUAUUCCUUCUAGAAAUUCAAAUGACUUGCAAGUCACACAGUCCAGUUUAAUCUUUGAAUAGAUGAGCAACAAUUGUUUAAUCUAUGCUUGCAUGCUUUGAUCAAUCAUCUGUGUAGUUUAUUAGCUUGCUAUCCAAAAUGCCAAAUUUAUUUUGUCAUAGAUUAAGUGAUUUCUUGUAGUAUACUAAAUCCUUGGAAUCAACGGCACAAAUUGAAAUUAACACAUGCUGAGGUCAGCUCGACUGCUUGUGCACGGGCAGCAAAAUUACAAAUACUGUUCGAUUUCUCUCAGUUUCUCCUCAGGAUGGAGAUCGUGGCCAAGGCACCUAUGGUGAUUGCGUCUACUGUGUAGGGUCAGAUAGCUUGUUCUAAGUCAGAUAUGAGCAUGUUUAAGCUACAGGGUAAGAUGGUCUUUGAGAUGGCAUGCUGUUGCUGCUAGUUUCAAGUAGUGGACUGGUUGAAAAUUGUUUGAAGUCAGAUAGCUUUUUCUAAGUCAGAUAUGAACUUGUUUUCUUGUAUGUAUAUGCUGAGAUGGAUCAAAAUUUAUUUCAUGUAAUGAAUGAAAUGUUUAAUUUGUUGUGUUUA